rnacentral:lncRNA from 1 species
UGCCCAGGGCGGGUGAGGACCCUGCACACACACGGUGUGUUUGUGAGCUGUGCAGAGUGGGGUCUCCCUGGCAAUGGCCACAGCCUCCAGGGGCGCUGACACCUCCCGUCUAACUGGUAGACAGUUUCUGCCUCUUCUUGUUUGGGGAUUGGAGAGGGAAGUGCGUCUGGAUGACUACUAAGAUGAGGAGGCUAAGGCCUAGUGCUCCCAGGGGGCUUGGUCAAGAGCAGGAGGCAGAGGUGGUGGAAGGCUGUUUCCCUGCGGUUUGGCCAUAUGAGAGGACUCUGGCAUCCUUUGAUGUGCCAUCGUUAUUCUCCGAGCACUUCCCUACUUUCUGGCACUACGACCUGUUCCAGCCCCUCUUGGGCUCCACCUACCCAGCCCUGGAACCAGCCCUGGAAUCAGCCCUUUCCC